UGGAGAACACACACAUGCAGCACACACACAGGCAAUAAAACAAGAGAGCACAUAUGAGUCUAUUACGACGAGCUGCGGGAAAGUAACUGGAACCACCGAAAGCUCUUCGCUAUUUAUUUAAGAGCCCUGGAGUCCUUUUCCAUCAACUUGCAGUCAAAAUGUCUUGAGAGCCACCCCUUCUUUCUUAUCAGCUUGAACAGAUGUCUCAAACUGCAUCUACCAUUGACAGACGUCUGUCUAGCUUGUGGCACAAAAUAAAACAAAAACUAAGUUAUGAAACAUCAUUAGCUGCAUAGCAAAAUAGUAGUUCAACAAAUACCAUCAGUGUUUUGUAAAUGAAACAAAGAGGUCUAAUUUCUGUCGUGACAGCAAUUCCUUCCCCGCAUCAUGACUGCAUAUUUUAUCUUACCUGCUGC